GUACACUCCUGCGGGAGGCAGCAGUGGGGAAUUUUGGACAAUGGGCGAAAGCCUGAUCCAGCAAUGCCGCGUGUGUGAAGAAGGCCUUCGGGUUGUAAAGCACUUUUGUCCGGAAAGAAAUCCUUGGCUCUAAUACAGUCGGGGGAUGACGGUACCGGAAGAAUAAGCACCGGCUAACUACGUGCCAGCAGCCGCGGUAAUACGUAGGGUGCGAGCGUUAAUCGGAAUUACUGGGCGUAAAGCGUGCGCAGGCGGUUUGCUAAGACCGAUGUGAAAUCCCCGGGCUCAACCUGGGAACUGCAUUGGUGACUGGCAGGCUAGAGUAUGGCAGAGGGGGGUAGAAUUCCACGUGUAGCAGUGAAAUGCGUAGAGAUGUGGAGGAAUACCGAUGGCGAAGGCAGCCCCCUGGGCCAAUACUGAUGCUCAUGCACGAAAGCGUGGGGAGCAAACAGGAUUAGAUACCCUUGUAGUCCCA
rnacentral:rRNA from 1 species